rnacentral:misc_RNA from 1 species
GAUGAAGAACGCAGCGAAAUGCGAUAAGUAGUGUGAAUUGCAGAAUUCAGUGAAUCAUCGAAUCUUUGAACGCACAUUGCGCCCCUUGGUAUCCCGAGGGGCAUGCCUGUUCGAGCGUCAUUUCACCACUCAAGCCUUGCUUGGUGUUGGGCGACGUCCUCUUUGGGGACGCGCCUCGAAACGCUCGGCGGCGUGGCACCGGCUUUAAGCGUAGCAGAAUCUUUCGCUUUGGAAGUCGGGGCCCCGUCUGCCGGAAGACCUGCUCGCAAGGUUGACCUCGGAUCAGGCAGGGAUACCCGCUGAACUUAAGCAUAUCAAUAAGCGGAGGA